rnacentral:lncRNA from 1 species
CUUGGCUCACUGCAACCUCGGCCUCCCAGGUUCAGGUGAUUCUUCUGCCUCAGCCUCCUGAGUAGCUGGGACUACAGAUGCAUAAUCAAAUAUAUAAGUAAAAAUUGACAUUUCCUUUGAGAACUACUUGGACAGUGACCUGAACAUCUCAAGAAAAACCUUGGUGGAAUUGCAUGAACCUGAUUUGGGUCAAAAUUAAGCACCACGCUGAAAAUCAUGCCUUUGUGAAAUGACAAAUUGAAAGUGUUCAGAAAUUGCAUUUGAACUAGUUGAGAUCCUGAUACAGAUUCUCUCCAUUGCUUUCUUGGCUUUAACACUUCAGUGAAGCAAUCUGCCUUGUUGAGAGGCCCACAUGGCAAGGAACUGAGGGCAGCCCCUGACCAACAGCCAGCCAGGAACUGAAGAUGUCAGUCCAACUACCCCUGAUGAACUGAAUCUUGAACCACGUGAGCUUGGAGUGCAUCCUUCCCAGUUGUGCCAUGAGAUGAGAGCACGGCACCAGUCAACAGUGUGACUGUUCUUUGAGAAAGACACCAAAGCAGAGGGGACAGCUAAGCCAUAUCCAGAUUUUUCACCCACAAAACUGAGAUAAUACAUGUGUGCUUUUUAAACUGUUAAAUUUUGGGACAAUUUGUUAUGCCACAAUAUAUAAUUAAUACACAAGGUUUUUGGCAACUGGAAGAAUAAAAAUAGUAUUUAUGAUAUCACAAGAUGAGUGUAGGUAGAGGGUUUCUUUACAGGGAGAUUUCAGGGUUUCUUUUUUUUUUUGGUGAUGGAGUCUCGCCCUGUUGCCCAGGCUGGAGUGAAUUGGCUCAAUCUCGGCUCACUGCAACCUCCACUUCCUGGGUUCAGGUGAUUCUCCCACCUUAGCCUCCUGAGUAGCUGAGAUUACAGGCACCUGCCAUCAUGCCUGGCUAAUUUUUAUAGAGACGGGGUUUCACCAUGUUGGCCAGGCUGGUCUCGAACUCCUGACCUCAGAUGAUCCACCCAGGCUGGAGUGAACUGGCGCAAUCUCGGCUCACUGCAACCUCCACUUCCUGGGUUCAGGUGAUUCUCCCACCUUAGCCUCCUGAGUAGCUGAGAUUACAGGCACCUGCCAUCAUGCCUGGCUAAUUUUUAUAGAGACGGGGUUUCACCAUGUUGGCCAGGCUGGUCUCGAACUCCUGACCUCAGAUGAUCCGCCUGCCUCGGCCUCCCAAAGUGUUGGGAUUACAGGCGUGAGCCUCUGCACCCAGCUGAUUGCAAGUUUUGGAUAUGUACAAUGCACAUAAGUAUCUAUUUUUGUGAUAAUACUUCUCACUAAUUUUUCAAAUGGUAGUUAGCUACCAAUAUAUAGAAUCUAAAUACUCUCCAUGAGCCACCUUAAAACAAAGUUAUUUAAGGCAUCUUCAAAAAUCAGAUUCUAGGCCGGGUAUGAUGGCUCACACCUGUAAUCCCAGCACUUUAAGAGGCCGAGGCAGGUGGAUGGCUUGAGCCCAGGAGUUCAAGACCAGCCUGAGCAACAUACAGAAACCCCGUCUCUAUUAAAAACACAAAAAUUAGCUGUGCGUGGUGGUGCUUGCCUGUAGUCCUAGCUACUUGGGAGGCUAAAGUGGGAGGAUCACUUGAGCCCAGGAAGUUGAGGCUGCAGCGAGCCGUGAUCACGCCGCCGCACUCCAGUGUGGGUGAUGGGAGUGAGACCCUGUCUAAAAAAAAAAAAAAAAUCAGAUGUUAUAAUAAUUUUAGUCAUAAUUAUUUCUGGAAAUGGAAAACAUCAAAUACAGUACCAACCCAUGAAUUCUGAUGUCUCACUUUUAGAAUUUCUCUAUUCUUUGCUUUCAAUUUGCACAAAAACC